rnacentral:rRNA from 1 species
GACGAACGCUGGCGGCGUGCCUAAUACAUGCCAGUCGAACGCUUCUUUCCUCCCGAGUGCUUGCACUCAAUUGGAAAGAGGAGUGGCGGACGGGUGAGUAACACGUGGGUAACCUACCCAUCAGAGGGGGAUAACACUUGGAAACAGGUGCUAAUACCGCAUAACAGUUUAUGCCGCAUGGCAUAAGAGUGAAAGGCGCUUUCGGGUGUCGCUGAUGGAUGGACCCGCGGUGCAUUAGCUAGUUGGUGAGGUAACGGCUCACCAAGGCCACGAUGCAUAGCCGACCUGAGAGGGUGAUCGGCCACACUGGGACUGAGACACGGCCCAGACUCCUACGGGAGGCAGCAGUAGGGAAUCUUCGGCAAUGGACGAAAGUCUGACCGAGCAACGCCGCGUGAGUGAAGAGGGUUUUCGGAUCGUAAAACUCUGUUGUUAGAGAAGAACAAGGACGUUAGUAACUGAACGUCCCCUGACGGUAUCUAACCAGAAAGCCACGGCUAACUACGUG